rnacentral:lncRNA from 1 species
CAGCCACUCCUCCACAGCCACGUCUUCAAUACGCUGACUCGAGCAUUAUUUCGAAGCAUCAACGCUUCAUCAUUCUCAUUUCACAUUUUCAUCCUUCGNGUCACACAUCAGAGAGUCGUUUUCUCUCUCGAACUCUUCGUCGCCGUCCACCAUUUUCAUUUCAGUAAGCCUCUACCCUAUUUCCUCUUGUCAGAUCUAUGUUCCUUCUCCUCAGUUCAUCCUUUCCACCGAACAAUAACCCUAUUUCACCGUUCAAAAUCAUUUCCACCGAUCAUCUUUCAAUCCCUAUCAACUGAAACCUCUUUUGCACCGAUCCAAAACUUUU